rnacentral:rRNA from 1 species
AGUUUUGGUCCUAAACUUACUGCUACUUUUAAUCAAAUUUACACAUGCAAGCAUCCACACACCAGUGAAAUACGCCCUAACACAGUAUAAAUGGAGCAGGUAUCAGGCACAACCGCCAGCCAAAAACACCAAGCUUUGCCACACCCACACGGGCCCUCAGCAGUGAUAAACAUUAAGCAAUAAGCGAACACACCAAACUAAAGCUUGACUUAGUUAUGAUUAACAGGGCCGGUAAACCUCGUGCCAGCCACCGCGGUUACACGGCGGGCCCAAAGCAGCAGACUCUCGGCGUAAAUAGUGGCCAGAAUAAUUACCCCCACAUUAAAAACUAAACCAUACCCUAACCGUAAAACACAGGCUAAAUGAAAUCAAGCACUUUUAAUAACAGGUAAUUUGACCCACGAAAACUAAGAAACAAACUAGGAUUAGAUACCCUACUAUGCUUAGUCGUUAAUAUGAUAUUAUAGUACUAAAAUAUCCGCCAGAAAACUACGAGCGAAAAGCUUAAAACUCAAAGGACUUGGCGGUGCUCCAUACCGACUUAGAGGAGCCUGUCCUAUAAUCGAUACCCCACGCUAAACCCCACCAAUCUUUGCCAUACCAGCCUAUAUACCGCCGUCGUCAACCCACCUCAUGAGAGAAAAACAGUGAGUACAAAAGUUCAAUAACUAAAACGUC